rnacentral:rRNA from 1 species
GACGAACGCUGGCGGCGUGCUUAACACAUGCAAGUCGAACGGAAAGGCCCUGCUUUUGUGGGGUGCUCGAGUGGCGAACGGGUGAGUAACACGUGAGUAACCUGCCCUUGACUUUGGGAUAACUUCAGGAAACUGGGGCUAAUACCGGAUAGGAGCUCCUGCUGCAUGGUGGGGGUUGGAAAGUUUCGGCGGUUGGGGAUGGACUCGCGGCUUAUCAGCUUGUUGGUGAGGUAGUGGCUUACCAAGGCUUUGACGGGUAGCCGGCCUGGUAGGGUGACCGGCCACAUUGGGACUAAGAUACGGCCCAGACUCCUACGGGAGGCAGCAGUGGAAAAUAUUGCACAAUGGGCGGAAGCCUGAUGCAGCAACGCCGCGUGCGGGAUGACGGCCUUCGGGUUGUAAACCGCUUUCGCCUGUGACGAAACGUGAGUGACGGUAAUGGGUAAAGAAGCACCGGCUAACUACGUG